rnacentral:rRNA from 1 species
GUGGAUGCCCUGGCAGUCAGAGGCGAUGAAGGACGUGCUAAUCUGCGAUAAGCGUCGGUAAGGUGAUAUGAACCGUUAUAACCGGCGAUUUCCGAAUGGGGAAACCCAGUGUGAUUCGUCACACUAUCAUUAACUGAAUCCAUAGGUUAAUGAGGCGAACCGGGGGAACUGAAACAUCUAAGUACCCCGAGGAAAAGAAAUCAACCGAGAUUCCCCCAGUAGCGGCGAGCGAACGGGGAGCAGCCCAGAGCCUGAAUCAGUGUGUGUGUUAGUGGAAGCGUCUGGAAAGGCGUGCGAUACAGGGUGACAGCCCCGUACACAAAAAUGCACAUACUGUGAGCUCGAUGAGUAGGGCGGGACACGUGGUAUCCUGUCUGAAUAUGGGGGGACCAUCCUCCAAGGCUAAAUACUCCUGACUGACCGAUAGUGAACCAGUACCGUGAGGGAAAGGCGAAAAGAACCCCGGCGAGGGGAGUGAAAAAGAACCUGAAACCGUGUACGUACAAGCAGUGGGAGCACGCUUAGGCGUGUGACUGCGUACCUUUUGUAUAAUGGGUCAGCGACUUAUAUUCUGUAGCAAGGUUAACCGAAUAGGGGAGCCGAAGGGAAACCGAGUCUUAACUGGGCGUUAAGUUGCAGGGUAUAGACCCGAAACCCGGUGAUCUAGCCAUGGGCAGGUUGAAGGUUGGGUAACACUAACUGGAGGACCGAACCGACUAAUGUUGAAAAAUUAGCGGAUGACUUGUGGCUGGGGGUGAAAGGCCAAUCAAACCGGGAGAUAGCUGGUUCUCCCCGAAAGCUAUUUAGGUAGCGCCUCGUGAAUUCAUCUCCGGGGGUAGAGCACUGUUUCGGCAAGGGGGUCAUCCCGACUUACCAACCCGAUGCAAACUGCGAAUACCGGAGAAUGUUAUCACGGGAGACACACGGCGGGUGCUAACGUCCGUCGUGAAGAGGGAAACAACCCAGACCGCCAGCUAAGGUCCCAAAGUCAUGGUUAAGUGGGAAACGAUGUGGGAAGGCCCAGACAGCCAGGAUGUUGGCUUAGAAGCAGCCAUCAUUUAAAGAAAGCGUAAUAGCUCACUGGUCGAGUCGGCCUGCGCGGAAGAUGUAACGGGGCUAAACCAUGCACCGAAGCUGCGGCAGCGACGCUUAUGCGUUGUUGGGUAGGGGAGCGUUCUGUAAGCCUGUGAAGGUGUGCUGUGAGGUAUGCUGGAGGUAUCAGAAGUGCGAAUGCUGACAUAAGUAACGAUAAAGCGGGUGAAAAGCCCGCUCGCCGGAAGACCAAGGGUUCCUGUCCAACGUUAAUCGGGGCAGGGUGAGUCGACCCCUAAGGCGAGGCCGAAAGGCGUAGUCGAUGGGAAACAGGUUAAUAUUCCUGUACUUGGUGUUACUGCGAAGGGGGGACGGAGAAGGCUAUGUUGGCCGGGCGACGGUUGUCCCGGUUUAAGCGUGUAGGCUGGUUUUCCAGGCAAAUCCGGAAAAUCAAGGCCGAGGCGUGAUGACGAGGCACUACGGUGCUGAAGCAACAAAUGCCCUGCUUCCAGGAAAAGCCUCUAAGCAUCAGGUAACAUCAAAUCGUACCCCAAACCGACACAGGUGGUCAGGUAGAGAAUACCAAGGCGCUUGAGAGAACUCGGGUGAAGGAACUAGGCAAAAUGGUGCCGUAACUUCGGGAGAAGGCACGCUGAUACGUAGGUGAAGCGACUUGCUCGUGGAGCUGAAAUCAGUCGAAGAUACCAGCUGGCUGCAACUGUUUAUUAAAAACACAGCACUGUGCAAACACGAAAGUGGACGUAUACGGUGUGACGCCUGCCCGGUGCCGGAAGGUUAAUUGAUGGGGUUAGCGCAAGCGAAGCUCUUGAUCGAAGCCCCGGUAAACGGCGGCCGUAACUAUAACGGUCCUAAGGUAGCGAAAUUCCUUGUCGGGUAAGUUCCGACCUGCACGAAUGGCGUAAUGAUGGCCAGGCUGUCUCCACCCGAGACUCAGUGAAAUUGAACUCGCUGUGAAGAUGCAGUGUACCCGCGGCAAGACGGAAAGACCCCGUGAACCUUUACUAUAGCUUGACACUGAACAUUGAGCCUUGAUGUGUAGGAUAGGUGGGAGGCUUUGAAGUGUGGACGCCAGUCUGCAUGGAGCCGACCUUGAAAUACCACCCUUUAAUGUUUGAUGUUCUAACGUGGACCCGUGAUCCGGGUUGCGGACAGUGUCUGGUGGGUAGUUUGACUGGGGCGGUCUCCUCCUAAAGAGUAACGGAGGAGCACGAAGGUUGGCUAAUCCUGGUCGGACAUCAGGAGGUUAGUGCAAUGGCAUAAGCCAGCUUGACUGCGAGCGUGACGGCGCGAGCAGGUGCGAAAGCAGGUCAUAGUGAUCCGGUGGUUCUGAAUGGAAGGGCCAUCGCUCAACGGAUAAAAGGUACUCCGGGGAUAACAGGCUGAUACCGCCCAAGAGUUCAUAUCGACGGCGGUGUUUGGCACCUCGAUGUCGGCUCAUCACAUCCUGGGGCUGAAGUAGGUCCCAAGGGUAUGGCUGUUCGCCAUUUAAAGUGGUACGCGAGCUGGGUUUAGAACGUCGUGAGACAGUUCGGUCCCUAUCUGCCGUGGGCGCUGGAGAACUGAGGGGGGCUGCUCCUAGUACGAGAGGACCGGAGUGGACGCAUCACUGGUGUUCGGGUUGUCAUGCCAAUGGCACUGCCCGGUAGCUAAAUGCGGAAGAGAUAAGUGCUGAAAGCAUCUAAGCACGAAACUUGCCCCGAGAUGAGUUCUCCCUGACCCUUUAAGGGUCCUGAAGGAACGUUGAAGACGACGACGUUGAUAGGCCGGGUGUGUAAGCGCAGCGAUGCGUUGAGCUAACCGGUACUAAUGAACCGUGAGGCUUAACCUUACAACGCCGAAG